rnacentral:rRNA from 1 species
GUUCCAGCAGCCGCGGUAAGACGGAGGGUGCAAGCGUUAAUCGGAAUUACUGGGCGUAAAGCGUGCGCAGGCGGUUGUGUAAGACAGGCGUGAAAUCCCCGGGCUCAACCUGGGAAUGGCGCUUGUGACUGCACAACUGGAGUGCGGCAGAGGGGGAUGGAAUUCCGCGUGUAGCAGUGAAAUGCGUAGAUAUGCGGAGGAACACCGAUGGCGAAGGCAAUCCCCUGGGCCUGCACUGACGCUCAUGCACGAAAGCGUGGGGAGCAAACAGGAUUAGAUACCCUGGUAGUCCACGCCCUAAACGAUGUCAACUGGUUGUUGGGUCUUAGCUGACUCAGUAACGAGGCUAACGCGUGAAGUUGACCGCCUGGGGAGUACGGCCGCAAGGUUGAAACUCAAAGAAAUUGACGG